rnacentral:rRNA from 1 species
UACGUAGGGUGCUAGCGUUGUCCGGAAUCAUUGGGCGUAAAGCGCGUGUAGGCGGUCCUGUAAGUCCGCUGUGAAAGUCGGGGGCUCAACCCUCGGAUGCCGGUGGAUACUGUCGAGCUUGAGUACGGAAGAGGCGAGUGGAAUUCCUGGUGUAGCAGUGAAAUGCGCAGAUAUCAGGAAGAACACCCGUGGCGAAGGCGGCUCUCUGGGACGGUACUGACGCUGAGACGCGAAAGCGUGGGGAGCAAACAGG